rnacentral:tRNA from 2 species
GCGGAAGUGGCUCAGUGGUAGAGCAUCGCCUUGCCAAGGCGAGGGUCGCGGGUUCGAACCCCGUCUUCCGCU